rnacentral:rRNA from 1 species
UAUUGGGGUCUUAAUACCCUAAAGACACCAGAUCCUGUCUGAUCUCGAAUGCUAAGCAGGGUCAGGACUGGUUCAUAUUUGGAUGGGGUACUUCCAGGAAACACCAGGUGGUGCAGUUU